GACGAACGCUGGCGGCGUGCUUAACACAUGCAAGUCGAGCGGUAAGGCCCUUUCGGGGGUACACGAGCGGCGAACGGGUGAGUAACACGUGGGUGACCUGCCCUCAGCUCUGGGAUAAGCCCGGGAAACUGGGUCUAAUACCGGAUAUGACUCCAUGACGCAUGUUGUGGGGUGGAAAGCCUUGUGCGGCUGAGGAUGGGCCCGCGGCCUAUCAGCUUGUUGGUGGGGUGAUGGCCUACCAAGGCGACGACGGGUAGCCGGCCUGGGAGGGCGACCGGCCACACUGGGACUGAGACACGGCCCAGACUCCUACGGGAGGCAGCAGUGGGGAAUCUUGCGCAAUGGGCGAAAGCCUGACGCAGCGACGCCGCGUGAGGGAUGACGGCCUGGUU
rnacentral:rRNA from 1 species